AUUGAACACUGGCGGCAUGCUUUACACACGCAAGUCGAACGGUAACAGGCCUUCGGGUGCUGACGAGUGGCGAACGGGUGAGUAAUGCAUCGGAACGUGCCCAGGGGUGGGGGAUAACGCAGCGAAAGCUGUGCUAAUACCGCAUGUGAUCUGAGGAUGAAAGCGGGGGACCAAGCAGCAAUGUUUGGCCUCGCGCCUCUGGAGCGGCCGAUGUCAGAUUAGGUAGUUGGUGGGGUAAAGGCCUACCAAGCCGACGAUCUGUAGCUGGUCUGAGAGGACGACCAGCCACACUGGGACUGAGACACGGCCCAGACUCCUACGGGAGGCAGCAGUGGGGAAUUUUGGACAAUGGGCGCAAGCCUGAUCCAGCAAUGCCGCGUGCGGGAAGAAGGCCUUCGGGUUGUAAACCGCUUUUGUACGGAACGAAAAGGCUCUGGCUAAUACCUGGGGCUGAUGACGGUACCGUAAGAAUAAGCACCGGCUAACUACGUG
rnacentral:rRNA from 1 species